GCAGUCGUGGCCGAGUGGUUAAGGCGAUAGACUAGAAAUCCAUUGGGGUCUCCACGCACAGGUUCGAAUCCUGUCGACUGCG
rfam:Ixodes scapularis strain Wikel colony gcontig_1108378751152, whole genome shotgun sequence.